GGAAUAUUCCACAAUGGGCGAAAGCCUGAUGGAGCGACGCCGCGUGAGUGAAGAAGGUUUUCGAAUCGUAAAGCUCUUUUCAACUUGACGAAUAGACAGUUAGACUGUAAGAGACGGUAAAGAUGGAAUAAGCCACGGCUAACUACGUGCCAGCAGCCGCGGUAAUACGUAGGUGGCAAGCGUUGUCCGGAAUUAUUGGGCGUAAAGGGAGCGCAGGCGGAAAUGUAAGUCUUACUUAAAAGUGCAGAAGUAAAAUUUGUGAUGGGUAAGAAACUACAAUUCUUGAGAGCAGGAGAGGCAAGCGGAAUUCCUAGUGUAGCGGUGAAAUGCGUAGAUAUUAGGAGGAACACCAGUGGCGAAGCCGGCUUGCUGGACUGCAUCUGACGCUGAGGCUCGAAAGCCGGGGUAGCGAACG
rnacentral:rRNA from 1 species